CAGUCCCGCGGGAAAACGAAGGGUGCAAGCGUUACUCGGAAUUACUGGGCGUAAAGCGUGCGUAGGUGGUGGUUUAAGUCCGUUGUGAAAGCCCUGGGCUCAACCUGGGAAUUGCAGUGGAUACUGGGUCACUAGAGUGUGGUAGAGGAUAGUGGAAUUUCCGGUGUAGCAGUGAAAUGCGUAGAGAUCGGAAGGAACAUCUGUGGCGAAGGCGACUAUCUGGGCCAACACUGACACUGAGGCACGAAAGCGUGGGGAGCAAACAGGAUUAGAUACCCGCGUAGUCCCUGUCUCUUAUACC
rnacentral:rRNA from 1 species